UACGGGGGGCGCAAGCGUUGUUCGGAUUUACUGGGCGUAAAGGGCGCGUAGGCGGUCAGCACAGGUCAGUUGUGAAAUCUCCGGGCUUAACUCGGAAAGGUCAACUGAUACUGUGCGACUAGAGUGCGGAAGGGGCAACUGGAAUUCUCGGUGUAGCGGUGAAAUGCGUAGAUAUCGAGAGGAACACCUGCGGCGAAGGCGGGUUGCUGGGCCGACACUGACGCUGAUGCGCGAAAGCCAGGGGAGCGAACGGG
rnacentral:rRNA from 1 species